AUUCCAGCUCCAAUAGCGUAUAUUAAAGUUGUUGCGGUUAAAAAGCUCGUAGUUGGAUUUCUGGGUUCAUCGCUAGCUUUGGUCCGCAAGGGCUUCAGUGGGCUGUUUGAAUCCAUCCUCAGGGGGACCCAUGCUGGUAUUCAUUUAUCGGUGUGGGAACGCCUGUCGUUUACUGUGAACAAAUUAGAGUGUUCAAAGCAAGGUGUACUUGAAUACAUUAGCAUGGAAUAAUAAGAUAGGACUUUGGUGGUUCUUUUUGAUAUUUUGUUGGUUUGCACGCCAAAGUAAUGAUUAAUAGGAGCAGUUGGGGGUAUUCGUAUUCAAUUGUCAGAGGUGAAAUUCUUGGAUUUAUAGAAGACGAACUACUGCGAAAGCAUUUACCAAGGAUGUUUUCAUUA
rnacentral:rRNA from 1 species